rnacentral:lncRNA from 1 species
GUUCUUUAUAAAAAUUAAUGAUUUUGUUUCAAUUCAGAAAUAUUUCCUGAAAUGUCUACAAUAAAAUCACAUAAUUAAUUUAUCUGAAUUCCAUACAUAAUAAAUGUUUUAAUGGAUCCUGCCCAGGCAUUGAUUCAACUAUGGUAAAGUCCUGUUGACUCUUCCACAGAUGUGGGCAAAUCAUAGUUGGGUUGGAAUAGACUCCAUUAUAUAGUAACCAGCCAAUGAUUGGGAAAUGACAUUAAAAAAUAAUUGCUUAUUUUUCUAGUAACUCCUAGUAUAAUUUGAAUUAAGCCACCGAAUUACAGAAGAUACUUUUGCCAUCCCUCACUUUUAAAGCUUACCAAAGGCUGAACAAUGCCCAUAAUGAAUCAGUUGAGGAAUUGAGUUUUGCUAAGCUUUUCACUAGAUUCCUCUUGAAAAACUGGAUAUAAGAGACUCUGAAUUGAAUCUGGAUCCUCCAAGGUGUAAACACUGUUUUAUCAUGUAAUCGUCUGGCAGACAUUAAAAGCUUAGACAUGAAAAUAACUUACAUAUUCCAUCUUUGUUAUUACAUGAUCUUUUAUUUAUUUUUAUUUACAGAAAGUGCUAGUAGGCAUGAGAUACACAUUUUCCUUAUUUUAAAGAAAAAAAUAUCUAUUCAACAUUACUGUACACCAUUGCUUUACUUUUUUAAAACAUUGAAUAUUCUGAAUUCUGAUAUUUGGGAACAUAACCUUCAUUUAUAAUAUUGCACUAUGAAAAAUCAUAUUCUGAUUCAUGACAGAUUCAAACUACAACAAUAAAAUUGUUUGAAUGCAACCAUCAUAAAU